rnacentral:lncRNA from 1 species
CUUUCAUUAGUUUGAGAACACCCUUGGGGGUAGCUCCUGUAACAGUGAUAGAAUGAUUUAUGUAAGUGGCAUGCAAUUGAUUUUAUGUCAGAUAAAGUUUGAAGCACUGAAACAAGAAGGUAAAAGUACUUUCACUGCCACCAAGCUUGUUAACUGCUUCCACAAAGGUCUCAUGAAGUUCUGGGGUCCAACGCAUGCGUUGCUUUCCUGGAGCAGCAUUUGAGGAUGAUUGAGCUCCACUUGUGCAAAUUUCUCCAGAUGUACUUGGGAGUUGUUGGGGUAUAUGAGGCUGCUGGUUGGAGAUACUAGGGCAUUGCUGCGAAUGCUGAUACAAACAAGAUAUUAGAAGACUCAUAUUAGUAUAUAAGAAUUAUUCACCGACUCUACUGAAGGAGGAUUGAACAUAAGCAUUGCAGAAACUCAAGCUCAGAAAAGUAAACUCUACCUUUGGUUCUGGAUCUGCGACACUUGCAUCAGCAAGCAGUCCACUCCAAUCAGCAGUUAAAGCAUCAUUAUCAGUAAUAAGCUGAUCAGCCCAAUCUUGCCAAUCAUUGGGUUUACCUAGAUCCUCAUGCGGAAUGGUGAUGCCACUACUCUUACUUCCAUACAACUGACUACUCUGGAUCGCCGUACUCAUUGGAAAAUCAAGAAAAUCAGGCAAUGUAUCCGUGCACCAAGACUCAUUGUUUUCUUUGUUGAAAUGACUUGAUGCAGUGGAUUGAAGAAGUUGAGAAUCAACAGAAUGUGGUAAUGUAACUGAUUUUCUGCUACUUGUUGAUUGAGAAAUGAAAGGAUUUUGCCUUGGAGGAUUUUCUUGUUGCUGUUGGAUGGAUGAAAAAUGGAGAUCAGUAGAAAUUCCUGAUGAAGAAGAAAAUAUAUGCCCAACAACCCCACUGUUGGAGGACAAUGAUGAAACAACAGCUGGAGGACGCUGCAUGAGUUCCCUCUCUAAGGAAACCUGCUGCGAUUCAGAAAAUCUUGGAUAUGUCUCUUCCAGGACAGUUGGAGGAACAUUAAAUGAAGCAGAUAGAGAUGCCGAGGCCCCGAUGCUACUAAUUUGUCUUGGGCCUGAUCNAUUAUAAUUAAAAUGUUAAUUUUUUCUUUUAUUGUAUUUUAUUUAAGAGUGGAUUUUUAAAAUGGCCACUUUGAAAUAGUAAACUUAAAAAUUGUCCACUAAAAUAAAAACAUAAAAAAAUGGCCACUGUUACCAAAAUAUCCUUCCACAUUAAAAAUUAAAAAAAUGGCCACUUUACAAUCACCCCUUUAAAAAAUCCCGCAAUUACACAACCAGUGUGAAAUUCACAACCAAAAUUUUUUGGUUGUAGAAUUCACACUGGUUGUGAAAUUGAGAAUUCACAACCAGUCGAAUUCACAACCAGAAUUUUUUGUUUGUGAAUUCACAACUAGUCGAAUUCACAGCAAAAAUUUAAUUCACAAUAAGUCGAAUUCACAACUAGAAUUAAAUUUUGGUUGUGAAUUCACAUGUUGUGAAUUCACAACCAAAAUUUAAUUCACAACCAGAUUUAUGUUGGUUGUGAAUUCACAAUCAGUCGAAUUCACAACCUGAAUUUAAUUCACAACUAGAAUUUAUUUUGGUUGUUAAUUCAAGUAGUUGUGAAUUUGAGUUUUUAAAGUUUGAAUUCACAAUUAAAACUGUAAUUUAUUUGAUUGUGAAUUUAUAGAUUUGGUUGUAAAUUCAAGAAUAUUAAAUUGUGAAUUCAUCGAGCUAGUUGUGAAUUCAAGAACAUUGUUGUAAUUCUGUGAAUUCUUAAAUCUAGUUGUGAAUUCAUAAAUGUAUUCUUAAAUCUAGUUGUGAAUUCAUAAAUGUGGUCGUGAAUUCAAGAACAUUAAAUUGUGAAUUCAUAAAUUUGGUUGUGAAUUUAAGAUCAUUAAAAAAAUUAUUUGUGUCCUAUACACGAAUAAGAUUAUUCAUCUCAGAAAAAAAAACGGAAAUCCAAUAGUCCAAAUAUAAUUCAUAAUCAAUGUCGAGCUUGUCCAUUCCACCAAACUAGAUGGUUGCAAGUUGGAUGAGAUUUCGUAAAUGCUAAAUCUCCCCUUGUCGAAACAAAGGAGUUUCUUCAAUAGAUAGCAAUACUAAGCUGAAAAUUUACAGCCAGUAAAACUCAACUAAAUAUACUGGUGGAAAAUCAACGAAUUCGUAUACAUAAUUGAUCUAAUCCAAAAAUUAUAAUCGAACGUUCCUGAUUUGGGGAUAUUCUCAAGCCCUAGCGGCGAUGGGCGGCUGAGGAGCGGGAGCGCCGCCGGCGAGGAAGGAGAGGAGGCUGGGAACCCUAGCCAGUGGCUCCGCCUCGUCGAGGAAGAGAUCUUCCGGAACCCUAAAAGCACCGUGCGCGAAGACAAUGGCGAGGCCGACCAUGAGCGCCGACACAAGCACGCCGAAUCUGGCCUCGCCGCUCCCUCUCUGGAGCACGAUCGCCAUCGAUUUCAUACAGUCGGAGCUCAUCAACAGCUGCAGGAUCUGCUCGUCGUCGUCGGAGACCGGGAUCUGACGCAGCACCGCCACCGCCUCCUCGCAAGCCCUAAACGCCGCGAAAUCGGAGUUUCCCCCAAAACCUGCUCCAUUAUCCUCACCAGCACCGCGACUCCGCCCAAUCGCUUGAAAUCCUCCUUCACCUCGUCCCCCAAUCCCACGAUCGACCCCAGCCUCCGCAGGCAGCUCACCUUGAACGGCGUCGAGUCCAUCGCACCGAGCGCGGCGGCCAGUUCGUCGCGCUUGGCCGAAGCCGGCGGAGGAGGAGGAGCGACGGUGCAGGACCUUCCUGCGCGGCUGAGCGAGCGGCCAUUGAGUGGGGGCGGAGCAGCGCGGCGGACGGGCGGCGAGGACGAGAGAGAGAGAGAGAGGAGGAGAGAACAGCGAGAGAGAGAGAGAAGAAACGUAGAGAGAGAGUGAGGAGAGAGAGACAGUAAAAAAUUAUGAAUGUGUGGGGAAUGAAUUUGUGGCUAAUUUUUUAAUUUUUAUUGUAGGGGUAAUUUUGUACUUUUACACAAAAAAUGGCCAAAUUUUAAAGUUUUUAUUUGACUGGCCAAUUUUUAAGUUUACUAUAUGAAAGUGGCCAAUUUCAUAUAUUAACUCAAAAUUUAAAGUCCGCAAAAUUUACUAAAACAUAAAAUUCAGUGAUUUUUACGGCUUUAACCCUAAAACAUAAACAAUUUUUUUCACCUGUUAUUUCCACAUAUCCCUUAUGUUAUGUCCAUCAAUUGGUUGAUGUGGAUAAAAACCAACAUAUAUCAUCAGGGGCAUAUGUAGAAAUAAAAGAUUAGUUCUUUCUUUGUGGGAUGGACAGCAAUAUCACACAGGUCUAUCUUUGGAAAUAACUUUCUUUUGCAACAUGUUUUCACUAUCCUAUAUUGAUGGUAAUAUCAAGAUUAUGUUCCCAGCAGAGGCAUCCACUUUUUUUUCACAUGCAUCAGAACAGUAAACCACUAGAUCAAUCAGUAAAUGACUUUAUUGGAAUCAGAAGAGACCCUAUACAUCUCAACUCUCAACGACUGGCUAACAAAACCAAUUUAGUAUAUCUUUGAUGUUGAGAACACCUACUCGAAGAAUAAAAUUCAUACCUCAAGUUGUUCGUGGAGUCGCUUUUGGACUUCCAUCUGUAAUCUCAGUGCUUCAGUGAUCUCAAUACCCCUGUUUUAAAAACCAAGAUGCAUUAUGAUUAGCAACAAAAACAUAUGGCAUAGAAAGCCGCUAAAAACAAGACAAAAUUAUCAACCUCUGCAUUUUCUUUCAAGAUUUCAGACAAGAUGGACUUAUAGACUUAAGUAGACCCACUACAAUUUAACUUCAGAAAGUAGACCUUAUACAAGCAUUGAUUUUAACAACUCACGUUUUUAAGUCCAGGGAUGACAAAUCUUCAAUGGAGGCAGAUUUCCUCUCGGAAGACUCUGCAAAAAAGAACAAAAAACACAGUAUUUUCUUAGGCCAUGAUAUGCACAUUAACUUAAUACACAGAAAAAAGAGUAGAAUAUAUUUUUGGAGGAUAUUACUAGAUAAAACAGGAUUACUAUAAGUAACGCGAACUUAAGAGCCUAAAGAAAUUAGAGUAUGAACCUUUUUUGUUUAUUUGGAUAUAACUUUGUUUCAAGAACAAAGACAAUAAUUGUUGAUACUGAAAGUUUUGAUAAUGGUAGUAGGAAAAAAAAUAGACUACCAGGGAAAAAAUAAGCUACUGAACAAAAAAGCAAAGUGCAUUUUACAAUAAACAACGGACAAUGGCUUCAAUUGCAAAUGGCAUCUAGGAUAUCCCAAUGACAUCAAACAAAAAAGAUUGACAGAGGAUCAAGAAAAUUGAACAGUUCCAUUACUCUAGGUGAUAGAGAACAGGCAGAUAAUUUCUACUAUAGUGAAGCGAUGGAAAUAUUCUAAUAAAUAAGCUAAAGAACAAUUAAUUGAACAACCUAAUCAUUUGAAUACCAAGAGCAAUGGGAUAUGCUCCCACAACUAUGGAACCACUGCAAAGAAUUUUGAAUGGAAGAAAAUUGGACACUCUUAUGUCUUGAAAAGAAGCAGACAUCAUAUAGCUUGGUUGUGAAUUAUUUUACAGUUAAUAAAGGGAAACAUGGCAAAAACAUGGGAAUAGUGGUAUAUGUAACAAAAAAGUAGGGGGAAUCUUAUGCACACCUUCUAUUGUCUCAGGUUUGUAUCUAGCUGUUCGGUACUUCUGCAAUUUAGGAACCAGAUUUAAGAAGAGUGAGAAGCCACUAUGUAUGCAGCUUUUGAGAUUGGCCAUUACUACAGAAUACAUACCUGUAGAUGGCUUUUCACAUGAUAGAUGGUCAAACCUUCAACUUUCAUUAGUUUGAGAACACCCUUGGGGGUAGCUCCUGUAACAGUGAUAGAAUGAUUUAUGUAAGUGGCAUGCAAUUGAUUUUAUGUCAGAUAAAGUUUGAAGCACUGAAACAAGAAGGUAAAAGUACUUUCACUGCCACCAAGCUUGUUAACUGCUUCCACAAAGGUCUCAUGAAGUUCUGGGGUCCAACGCAUGCGUUGCUUUCCUGGAGCAGCAUUUGAGGAUGAUUGAGCUCCACUUGUGCAAAUUUCUCCAGAUGUACUUGGGAGUUGUUGGGGUAUAUGAGGCUGCUGGUUGGAGAUACUAGGGCAUUGCUGCGAAUGCU